rnacentral:rRNA from 1 species
UGAAACCGUGUACGUACAAGCAGUGGGAGCACAGAGCAAUCUGUGUGACUGCGUACCUUUUGUAUAAUGGGUCAGCGACUUAUAUUCUGUAGCAAGGUUAACCGAAUAGGGGAGCCGAAGGGAAACCGAGUCUUAACUGGGCGUUAAGUUGCAGGGUAUAGACCCGAAACCCGGUGAUCUAGCCAUGGGCAGGUUGAAGGUUGGGUAACACUAACUGGAGGACCGAACCGACUAAUGUUGAAAAAUUAGCGGAUGACUUGUGGCUGGGGGUGAAAGGCCAAUCAAACCGGGAGAUAGCUGGUUCUCCCCGAAAGCUAUUUAGGUAGCGCCUCGUGAAUUCAUCUCCGGGGGUAGAGCACUGUUUCGGCAAGGGGGUCAUCCCGACUUACCAACCCGAUGCAAACUGCGAAUACCGGAGAAUGUUAUCACGGGAGACACACGGCGGGUGCUAACGUCCGUCGUGAAGAGGGAAACAACCCAGACCGCCAGCUAAGGUCCCAAAGUCAUGGUUAAGUGGGAAACGAUGUGGGAAGGCCCAGACAGCCAGGAUGUUGGCUUAGAAGCAGCCAUCAUUUAAAGAAAGCGUAAUAGCUCACUGGUCGAGUCGGCCUGCGCGGAAGAUGUAACGGGGCUAAACCAUGCACCGAAGCUGCGGCAGCGACACUGUGUGUUGUUGGGUAGGGGAGCGU